AUUUAGCCAAAUCAGAUCUAAUCAGAUUUACUCAAACUCAGGCAUAUCUAAAGAAAGUGCUCCUAUGAAGUCUACUUAGAUUACUGUAAUGUUUAACCCAAUAACAUUUACAUUUUUAAUAAUUAUAUCACAAGCAAGAUGCUAAGAGACUUUAAGCUUCCUGCAAACACAGCUCUAGUUGGAGACAUGUGUACAGGGUGUGCUUGAGGAGUGCUGUGUAUAUAGCACAAUUGAUUCUUCCCUAGGGUCUUUGGAAAGACAAUCCUCUCACAGACUCUUGCCCCUGUCGGAAGACACAGUGGGGAUUCAGGUUUCUCUGUGUUAUGCCCACUUGCUUUGAAAUAUCAUAUACCUUUACUAAUACUACUAGUGAUAGAUCUUUUGUAACAAAUGCUUUACUGUUUCAGCUCUGCAUAUUUAAGUGGUUUGAAGGUUUGAUUGUAGAAGAAAGGAGGACAGGGUGGAGAAUUUGGUCAAAUGAUAUUAUCUGGUGUUUGUGUAAAAUUACUUUAACUGCAUGGAAGAAGCAUAGAAACUGCACCAACGUUUUCUAUAGAAGCUAUGACUUGUGCUAUUAGAUAUUUAAGAUGUCUACACUUGGCAAAAUGAUGAUGUCUUCAACCUUUUGAAGAUACAUUUGGGUGAGAUGAGAGCUGCGGUGGUUGUGUUGCCUUCCACUUCCUUCAGGAUUCCUUCGGAACUUUAUAUAGUAUGAACUUUAUAUAGUAUGUUCAUUUUGGCUGGUGUGUGCUGACUGCUUUGGGUGCAAAUGCCAUUUCCAAGCAUCAGGAUUGCUCAGGAAUGGCAAGAGCCCUCCCUCCCUCUGACCACUGGAGUUUGAGAUUUACCAAUAAUCUCUCUUUUCCUAACAAAUUGAGAUUUCAAAGGUGUAUCUCUCAAGAGAAUAACUUAAAAUGUAAUAGAAGCUGCAUAGUGAAAAAUGUGGGGGACAUCAGCUAACAAGGACAUUAGAGGGCAUGACAUUUAGUGACCCUGUCACUUACUCUCAUAAAUGGAAGCACAGUUCCCCUUUUCCCACCCCCAAAUACCAGAUGGGGACUACCUGCUAAUUUCUAACACAUUCAGGCCCUGCCACUGUCUCAUAGGAUAUGCCUUUUAAAAAAAGGAAAGAUCCUAUAUGUGGUCUUUUAUGUCCUCUGGGAUUCAAACAAGACCCCAUUAACAAAGGAUCUCUAUCAGAAUAGUGUUUGCGUAAGGUGGGUUCAGCUGUGUUUCAUGGCAAGUUCAAGUUUGACUUUUGAUUUUUCCACAGACAUAUAAAGAACUGUUAAGAAAAUUCAUCUAUGGGUAGUCAAGUCUUGUCUAAGGAGUAAGGACACAAACCUGGGAAAUAAAUUGUGCUUCUCAAAAAAAAAAAAAAAAAGGAAGGAAGGAAGGAAGGAAGGAAGGAAGGAAGGAAGGAAGGAGAAAAUAGCAAAGAUCUGGUAGUUCAGCAGUUCAGAAAAAACAUUCAUUUUAUUGAAAAAUUACUAAAAGAUAUUUACUCCCUCCUUACCAUUAAUAAAAAGAGUAUGUCAAAAUUCAUGUUCUAGCUCUGAAAAUAACUCUUGAGUUUACCACAGCAUUCAUACUAGAGGAGAGUCAAGAGUCAUGUUUUUGGUUUUGCUUUUGUAUAUCUUCCAUGUGUAGGUAUUUCUUUCAGAAAACAAUUAUUUUCAACUUUAUGACAAAGACAUUAGCCAGCAGAACAAAUACCCUGCAGGUGAGAUAUAGCCAUGAGAUUGGCCUCACAGAAUCUAACCUAUGUGAGAUUAUUCCCCUUGUUAUCUCUCUGGAGUUUUCCAAUUGAAAACAUAUAUUCCUUCCUACACGAAAAAAAUACUCUGAUUCCUUAGUUGAAAUUAAUUAGCAUUCAGAAACCAGAUCGCAUGUUUUUGGGUAUUCAUGAGAUCUCUGUUUGAAAAAAAAAAUGUUUUUAACUUGUAGAAAUGUGUUGCAACACACAGAUGGGAAG
rnacentral:lncRNA from 1 species